GCGCGAGAUUUGCAAACUACUCACUUGCAGUUGCAAAUCGUUCUCGUUUUAAAAAUAAGUUCUUCUUAAAUAGUUCGGCUGGUAAAUUAUUUGUGGGGAAGAAAUUGACUACUUCCGCUAGUGGAAACUUUGACACGUUCUUAUUAAAGGCGACAUCAUCAACUUCGCCAAUUCCUAGUUCCGGUCGUGAAUAUAGGAUUCCGGAUAAUUUUAGUCGGAUAUUUCCUGUCGAAUUAGGAGAUCCAGUCAGCUCAACUUUUCCACAUUAUAGUGCGUAAGCCAGCUUUAUAAUUAAGUCAUUCCAUUAUAUGUAUUACAUCCGGAUUUCCAUUUUUUGUAAAUAUUUAUGUCAUUUAUAAUUUUAUGACUUGUAAUUGUAUCAAAUAAAUAAUGUUAAAAUCAA